rnacentral:rRNA from 1 species
GAUGAACGCUGGCGGCGUGCCUAAUACAUGCAAGUCGAGCGAACAGAUGAGGAGCUUGCUCCUCUGACGUUAGCGGCGGACGGGUGAGUAACACGUGGAUAACCUACCUAUAAGACUGGGAUAACUUCGGGAAACCGGAGCUAAUACCGGAUAAUAUAUUGAACCGCAUGGUUCAAUAGUGAAAGACGGUUUUGCUGUAACUUAUAGAUGGAUCUGCGCCGCAUUAGCUAGUUGGUAAGGUAACGGCUUACCAAGGCAACGAUGCGUAGCCGACCUGAGAGGGUGAUCGGCCACACUGGAACGGAGACACGGUCCAGACUCCUACGGGAGGCAGCAGUAGGGAAUCUUCCGCAAUGGGCGAAAGCCUGACGGAGCAACGCCGCGUGAGUGAUGAAGGUCUUCGGAUCGUAAAACUCUGUUAUUAGGGAAGAACAAAUGUGUAAGUAACUAUGCACGUCUUGACGGUACCUAAUCAGAAAGCCACGGCUAACUACGUG